GAGCCCUACGGGACGCAGCAGUGAGGAAUAUUGGUCAAUGGGCGGGAGCCUGAACCAGCCAAGUCGCGUGAGGGAAGACGGUCCUACGGAUUGUAAACCUCUUUUGCCGGGGAGCAACGGGGUCCUUGCGAGGGCCCGAUGAGAGUACCCGGAGAAAAAGCAUCGGCUAACUCCGUGCCAGCAGCCGCGGUAAUACGGAGGAUGCGAGCGUUAUCCGGAUUUAUUGGGUUUAAAGGGUGCGCAGGCGGAAGAUCAAGUCAGCGGUAAAAUUGAGAGGCUCAACCUCUUCGAGUCGUUGAAACUGG
rnacentral:rRNA from 1 species